AUUGAACGCUGGCGGCAGGCCUAACACAUGCAAGUCGAACGAGUGGCGGACGGGUGAGUAAUGUCUGGGAAACUGCCUGAUGGAGGGGGAUAACUACUGGAAACGGUAGCUAAUACCGCAUACCAUCAGAUGUGCCCAGAUGGGAUUAGCUUGUUGGUGGGGUAACGGCUCACCAAGGCGACGAUCCCUAGCUGGUCUGAGAGGAUGACCAGGCACACUGGAACUGGAGCACGGGCCGAAACCCUAAGGGAGGGAGGAGUGGGGAAUAUUGCAACAAUGGCGCAAGCCUGAUGGAGCCAUGGCGCGUGUAAGAAAAAGGGCUUCGGGUUGGAAAGUACGUUCAGCGGGGAGGCGUUACCCGCAGAAGAAGCACCGGCUAACUACGUGCCAGCAGCCGCGGUAAUUC
rnacentral:rRNA from 1 species